rnacentral:rRNA from 1 species
CAAUAGCGUAUAUUAAAGUUGUUGCGGUUAAAAAGCUCGUAGUUGGAUUUCUGCUGAGAACGACCGGUCCGCCCUUUGGGUGUGUAUCUGGCUCUUUCUUGGCAUCUUCUUGGUGAACGUUGCUGCACUUGACUGUGUGGAGCGCUACCCAGGACUUUUACUUUGAGGAAAUUAGAGUGUUUCAAGCAGGCAUACGCCUUGAAUACAUUAGCAUGGAAUAAUAAGAUAGGACCUCGGUUCUAUUUUGUUGGUUUCUAGAGCUGAGGUAAUGAUUAAUAGGGAUAGUUGGGGGCAUUCGUAUUUAACUGUCAGAGGUGAAAUUCUUGGAUUUGUUAAAGUCGGACUACUGCGAAANCANNNGCCAAGGAUGUUUUCAUNGA